GAUGAACGCUGGCGGCGUGCCUAAUACAUGCAAGUCGAGCGAACAGACGAGGAGCUUGCUCCUCUGACGUUAGCGGCGGACGGGUGAGUAACACGUGGAUAACCUACCUAUAAGACUGGGAUAACUUCGGGAAACCGGAGCUAAUACCGGAUAAUAUAUUGAACCGCAUGGUUCAAUAGUGAAAGACGGUUUUGCUGUCACUUAUAGAUGGAUCCGCGCCGCAUUAGCUAGUUGGUAAGGUAACGGCUUACCAAGGCAACGAUGCGUAGCCGACCUGAGAGGGUGAUCGGCCACACUGGAACUGAGACACGGUCCAGACUCCUCGGGAGGCAGCAGUAGGGAAUCUUCCGCAAUGGGCGAAAGCCUGACGGAGCAACGCCGCGUGAGUGAUGAAGGUCUUCGGAUCGUAAAACUCUGUUAUUAGGGAAGAACAAAUGUGUAAGUAACUAUGCACGUCUUGACGGUACCUAAUCAGAAAGCCACGGCUAACUACGUG
rnacentral:rRNA from 1 species